rnacentral:rRNA from 1 species
GAGGAAGGUGGGGAUGACGUCAAGUCCUCAUGGCCUUUAUGUCCAGGGCUACACACGUGCUACAAUGGCCGGUACAAACCGCUGCAAACCCGCGAGGGUGAGCCAAUCGGAGAAAGCCGGCCUCAGUUCGGAUUGCAGUCUGCAACUCGACUGCAUGAAGCUGGAAUCGCUAGUAAUCGCGGAUCAGCAUGCCGCGGUGAAUACGUUCCCGGGCCUUGUACACACCGCCCGUCACAUCACGAAAGUGGGUUGUACUAGAAGCAGGUGAGCUAACCGCAAGGAAGCAGCCUUCCAAGGUGUGAUUCAUGAUUGGGGUGAAGUCG